rnacentral:rRNA from 1 species
GUAGGUGGCAAGCGUUGUCCGGAAUUAUUGGGCGUAAAGCGCGCGCAGGCGGUUCUUUAAGUCUGAUGUGAAAGCCCACGGCUCAACCGUGGAGGGUCAUUGGAAACUGGAGAACUUGAGUACAGAAGAGGAAAGCGGAAUUCCACGUGUAGCGGUGAAAUGCGUAGAGAUGUGGAGGAACACCAGUGGCGAAGGCGGCUUUUCUGGUCUGUAACUGACGCUGAGGCGCGAAAGCGUGGGGAGCAAACAGGGAUUAGAUACCCUGGUAGUCCACGCCGUAAACGAUGAGUGCUAAGUGUUAGGGGGGUUUCCGCCCCCCUUAGUGCUGCGGCUAACGCAUUAAGCACUCCGCCUGGGGAUACGGCCGCAAGGCUG